GAGGGUCUAGCUCAGUGUUAGAACAUGUGCUUAGCAUGCAUGAGGUCCUGGGUUCAAUCCCCAGUACCGCCA
rnacentral:tRNA from 1 species